CUAAAGACGUCUCUUUUUGGUAAUAACAAACGUGUUUUUUAAAAAAGCCUGGUUUUUUUCAAUACGCCUUUAAAGGUUUUUAAAUUGUUUCAUAUCUGGUCAAGUUGAGAUUUUUAAGAACUUCAUUUUUAAUUUGUAAUAAAAGUUUACAACUUGAUUUUUUCAAAAAAGUCAACAAACUGCAAGCACCUGUUAAUAAAG
rnacentral:lncRNA from 1 species